UGAACGCUGGCGGCAGGCCUAACACAUGCAAGUCGAAUGGUAACAGGAAACAGCUUGCUGUUUCGCUGACGAGUGGCGGACGGGUGAGUAAUGUCUGGGAAACUGCCUGAUGGAGGGGGAUAACUACUGGAAACGGUAGCUAAUACCGCAUAACGUCGCAAGACCAAAGAGGGGGACCUUCUGGCCUCUUGCCAUCAGAUGUGCCCAGAUGGGAUUAGCUAGUAGGUGGGGUAACGGCUCACCUAGGCGACGAUCCCUAGCUGGUCUGAGAGGAUGACCAGCCACACUGGAACUGAGACACGGUCCAGACUCCUACGGGAGGCAGCAGUGGGGAAUAUUGCACAAUGGGCGCAAGCCUGAUGCAGCCAUGCCGCGUGUAUGAAGAAGGCCUUCGGGUUGUAAAGUACUUUCAGCGGGGAGGAAGGGAGUAAAGUUAAUACCUUUGCUCAUUGACGUUACCCGCAGAAGAAGCACCGGCUAACUCCGU
rnacentral:rRNA from 1 species